rnacentral:rRNA from 1 species
GUCUACGGCCAUGCCACUCUGAACAAGCCUGAUUCCAACUGACCUCAGAAGCUAAGCAGGAUCGGGCCUGGUUAGUACCUGGAUGGGAGAUCACCUAGGAAGAUCAGGUGCUGUAGGCG